GUUCACUUGGAAACUGAAGGCACCAAAGGGUCCAAUGAGUAUAGAGAUUCUACCCUGCUAGAAAGGGCAAUUCAUGAAUCUGUGUACGGUAGUCGGUCUACUUUUUGGUUAGAGAAGGAAAGCCAAAGUAAAUUCUGCAUAUGAGGAAGGACUUGAGUAUUCAGAUGCCAAGAUGGAUGAGAAUGACACUGAUGAGAAAUCUUUACAUGGAGGUAUUGUAUUGACCUGCAUUGAUGAGGAUAGUUUGAUUUUCAUUAAAUCUGAGAUUGAAGACAGUGAAACAGAAGACAAGGGAACAUUUGAUGGCAAGUCUACAGCUCCCAUUGUGACAGAUGAAACUUCUCAAGAUAAUGAUGAGAAGGGGCCUGGGGACCAUGGAAGUAGUUCUUUGAGUUUUGAUCUUUCAAGCGAAGAAGAAACUGGUCCCCAGCAGCAUGAGGAUAGACGAUGCUUCGAUGGAGGGAGAGUGAAAAGUGGAGAGGAUGUUUUGACUGGGCCAUGUGAUUGUAAGAGGGCAGACUGUUCAGGGUCAAUGCGUUCAUGCACUGAGAAUCAUGAAACAACUACAUGUACUUCCAAAUGUUCCAAUGAUAAAACAACUCUUAAAUGUUUAGUGUGUGCUCUCUCAUUUUCUGAAGAGUCUCAACUGAGGGAACACUUCCAACGAUGUCAUUUUAUCGUCAUAGAGUCUGAAGACAUGACUCAUUGUUCACAUUGUAAAAAGUCAUUUCGAUGUAAUUCUGACUUUGUGAAGCAUAAGGCGAAAUGCUCUUUGGGAAAUCAGUUUGGAUUGAGUUUUUGUACAAAACUUGAUUCAGACGACAGCAGAUUUAAUGAAGGAACACUUCAAAAUGGUGAUAAAGACUUCUCUCAGAAACUUUUUAACCGCUCUCAUCGUGGCGAAAGCUUUCCAUCCAAGUGUGAUCUCGCUAAUCAUAAUGUAAAUCAUUAUGGUAAAUCUUAUAAAUGUGACAUAUCUUCACAAGAAAAAAAUGAACAUGAAAGAUCACAUGAAGAGCAAAGACCAUUCGAAUGUCAGUGUUGUAAAAAGAGAUUCAAGCUGAAACACCAUCUCCAAGGCCACAUUAGAAUUCACACAAAGGAGAAACACUAUGAAUGUCCAUAUUGUAACAAGAAAUUUUCCUGGAAGAAAGAAUGCGAUAUGCAUGUAAUUGAACACCCUGGGGUCAAUUUUCCAGAAUGUUCUCUGUGUAAAAAGAAAUUUGCAUCUUUGGACAUGAAGCAUAGACAUAUGAAAAGGUAUCAUGGCAUUGUUGACUUGGAAUGUACAAAAGAAAAGUAUCACGAAUGUCAGUAUUGUAAAAAGAGAUUCAAGCUGAAACACCAUCUCCAAGGCCACAUUAGAAUUCAUACAAAGGAUAAACCCUUCCAAUGUAAACAUUGUGGCAAGGAAUUUAGUCAUCAAUCAACAUUACGUGAACAUGUAGGUAAGACUCAACCAGAAUGUUUUAAAUGCAAAGAGAAAUUUGCAUGUAAGACGAUGAGGCGCAAACACAUGAAAAACUGUGUUUUAGACUAUCUCCAACAUAAGGACAAAGACUUCUCUCAGAAACCUUUCAACUGCUCUCAUCGUGGUGUAAGCUUUCCAUCCAAGUGUGAUCUCGCUAAUCAUAAUGUAAAUCAUUAUGGUAAAUCUUAUAAAUGUGACAUAUCUUCACAAGAAAAAAAUGAACAUGAAAGAUCACAUGAGGAGCAAAGGCCAUUUGAAUGUCAGUAUUGUAAAAAGAGAUUCAAACUGAAACACCAUCUCCAAGACCACAUUAGAAUUCAUACAAAGGAGAAACACUAUGAAUGUCCAUAUUGUAACAAGAAAUUUUCCUGGAAGAAAGAAUGCGAUAUGCAUGUAAUCGAACACCCUGGGGUCAAUUUUCCAGAAUGUUCUCUGUGUAAAAAGAAAUUUGCAUCUUUGGACAUGAAGCAUAGACAUAUGAAAAGGUAUCAUGGAAUUGUUGACUUGGAAUGUACAAAAGAAAAGUAUCAUGAAUGUCAGUAUUGUGAUAAAAAAUUUGGGCUAAAAGGUACUCUGAAGAAACACAUUAGAAUUCAUACAAAGGAUAAACCUUUCCAAUGUAAACAUUGUGGCAAGGAAUUUAGUCAUCAAUCAACAUUAAGUGAACAUGUAGGUAAGACUCAACCAGAAUGUCCUAAAUGCAAAGAGAAAUUUGCAUGUAUGACGAUGAGGCGCAAACACGUGAAAAACUGUGUUUUAGACUAUCUCCAAGCUGAAGACAAAGAAUUCUCUCAGAAACCUUUCAACUGCUCUCAUUGUGGCGAAAGCUUUACAUACGAGUGUGAUCUUGCUAAUCAUAACAUAAAGCAUAAUGAAAAAAAAUCAUAUGAUUGCUACUAUUGUGACAAAUCUUUCCCAUCUUCACACGAAAGAAAUGAGCAUGAAAGAUCACAUGAGGAGCAAAGACCAUUUGAAUGUCAGUAUUGUAAAAAGAGAUUCAAACUGAAACACCAUCUCCAAGGCCACAUUAGAAUUCACACAAAGGAGAAACACUAUGAAUGUCCAUAUUGUAACAAGAAAUUUUCCUGGAAGAAAGAAUGCGAUAUGCAUGUAAUCGAACACCCUGGGGUCAAUUUUCCAGAAUGUUCUCUGUGUAAAAAGAAAUUUGCAUCUUUGGACAUGAAGCAUAGACAUAUGAAAAGGUAUCAUGGAAUUGUUGACUUGGAAUGUACAAAAGAAAAGUAUCACGAAUGUCAGUAUUGUGAUAAAAAAUUUGGCUUAAAAGGUACUCUGAAGAAACACAUUAGAAUUCAUACAAAGGAUAAACCUUUCCAAUGUAAACAUUGUGGCAAGGAAUUUAGUCAUCAAUCAACAUUAAGUGUACAUGUAGGUAAGACUCAACUAGAAUGUCCUAAAUGCAAACAGAAAUUUGCAUGUAAGAUGAUGAGGCGCAUACACAUGACAAACUGUGUUUUAGACAAUCUCCAACAUGAAGACAAAGACUUCUCUCAGAAACCUUUCAACUGCUCUCAUCGUGGCGAAAGCUUUCCAUCCAAGUGUGAUCUCGCUAAUCAUAAUGUAAAUCAUUAUGGUAAAUCUUAUAAAUGUGACACAUCUUCACAAGAAAAAAAUGAACAUGAAAAAUCACAUGAGGAGCAAAGGCCAUUUGAAUGCCAGUAUUGUAAAAAGAGAUUCAAACUGAAACACCAUCUCCAAGACCACAUUAGAAUUCACACAAAGGAGAAACACUAUGAAUGUCCAUAUUGUAACAAGAAAUUUUCCUGGAAGAAAGAAUGCGAUAUGCAUGUAAUUGAACACCCUGGGGUCAAUUUUCCAGAAUGUUCUCUGUGUAAAAAGAAAUUUGCAUCUUUGGACAUGAAGCAUAGACAUAUGAAAAGGUAUCAUGGAAUUGUUGACUUGGAAUGUACAAAAGAAAAGUAUCAUGAAUGUCAGUAUUGUGAUAAAAAAUUUGGCCUAAAAGGUACUCUGAAGAAACACAUGAGAAUUCAUACAAAGGAUAAACCCUUCCAAUGUAAACAUUGUGGCAAGGAAUUUAGUCGUCAAUCAACAUUAAGUGAACAUGUAGGUAAGACUCAACCAGAAUGUCCUAAAUGCAAAGAGAAAUUUGCAUGUAUGACGAUGAGGCGCAAACACGUGAAAAACUGUGUUUUAGACUAUCUCCAAGCUGAAGACAAAGACUUCUCUCAGAAACCUUUCAACUGCUCUCAUUGUGGCGAAAGGUUUACAUACGAGUGUGAUCUUGCUAAUCAUAACAUAAAGCAUAAUGCAGGAAAAUCAUAUGAUUGCUAUUAUUGUGACAAAUCUUUCCCAUCUUCACAAGAGAGAAAUGAACAUGAAAGAUCACAUGAGGAGCAAAGGCCAUUUGAAUGCCAGUAUUGUAAAAAGAGAUUCAAGCUGAUGCACCAUCUCCAAGACCAUAUUAGAAUUCACACAAAGGAAAAACCCUAUGAAUGUCCAUAUUGUAACAAGAAAUUUUCCUGGAAGAAAGAAUGCGAUAUGCAUGUAAUCGAACACCCUGGGGUCAAUUUUCCAGAAUGUUCUCUGUGUAAAAAGAAAUUUGCAUCUUUGGACAUGAAGCAUAGACAUAUGAAAAGGUAUCAUGGAAUUGCUGACUGUACAAAAGAUAAAAAAAGUCAUUUAUGUCAGUAUUGUGGUAGAAUAUUCA